GUGCCAGCAGCCGCGGUAAGACGAACCGAGCGAACGUUAUUCGGAAUCACUGGGCUUAAAGGGUGCGUAGGCGGGCGAGUAAGUCAGGGGUGAAAUCCCACGGCCCAACCGUGGAAGUGCCUCUGAUACUGCGAGUCUAGAGGGAAAUAGGGGCGUGCGGAACUUCCGGUGGAGCGGUGAAAUGCGUAGAUAUCGGAAGGAACACCGGUGGCGAAAGCGGCGCGCUGGAUUUCUACUGACGCUGAGGCACGAAAGCCAGGGGAGCAAACGGGAUUAGAUACCCCAGUAGUCC
rnacentral:rRNA from 1 species